CAUUACAGGCUGGCAAAGGACUCCCCUUGCAGGGGGUGAUUUGCCUGGGGAAUUUUGUCUGGAAAGACCCUAGGAAUUCUAGCUAGGCCUACUGGCAUCUUGCUGCUUUGCAAAGCCUCUUUCUGAAAUGAACUGCCUUUGGACUAGUAAAUAAUGAUCACCACCAGCAGUGCACCCAGCAUGAGUGGUGAAGAGAUCCUAACUGAAGACAUUUCACCAAACAGAGAUCCUAUAUAAGUCUUUUGCAGAAAAAUAUUGAUGGGAAGAAACUGGGAGAUAACCAGAUGUGAAGACCUAGGAGAAAUGUCUAUGGUACAGUGUCCUUUCACUGAUUCUCAUUGCACAUCAUGCUGAAGAGGGUCUUUCCAUCAGCAUCCCGUUGUAAAUAUCCCAGGUCUGUUGAACUGGUCCCAGGCUCAGUCAGAGGGAGGUUUUGUUUUUCUGUGCGUGCAGAAAUGGAAGCUUUUGCCUCUGUAGUAGAAACUGGUGCAUUGAGCUCCUCUACAUCAUCCCUAAUACCUAAUACUUCUGCCAAAAGUGAAGCUUGAAGAAUCAUUCCAAAACAGAGCCCAGAAUAGGAGUUUGCCACCCAGAAGGAUAAUACGGAGAGCAAUCUGUAUCUUCACAGGUGAAAAAUAGCACCUUACAAAUGAAGCUCAGGAGAUUUUGAAUAAAUGAGCUCUGAAAAUUUCUGACUCCCAGUUCAUGCAGACCUGACCUCUUAAUAGCACAGGGCUCGUAGAUUUUCGGUGCUUCAGAUUUCUCACCAGAUUCUUGUCAUUUUGAGGAACUGCAUAAAAGUAUGUUGAUCAAUAUUUUGUGUUUUGUAAGAGAAUUACACAAUAAGAAACUCAGUGUAUAUGUGCCUUUUAAGAAGAGUAAUUUCCUGGAAACAAGGUUGUAGAUCUAUAAAAUGUGAGACAUGAUAACUAUCUUUAAAAAAGGAUUGAAAAAAGAAAAUAGCAAGAGUAGAGAAACAUUUAAGAGCUUAGUUUCAGGGAUACUGGAGAAUAAAGGAACAAGA